UACAGAGGUCUCAAGCGUUGUUCGGAUUCAUUGGGCGUAAAGGGUGCGUAGGUGGCGCGCUAAGUCAGGUGUGAAAUUUCGGAGCUUAACUCCGAAACUGCAUUUGAUACUGGCGUGCUUGAGGACUGGAGAGGAGACUGGAAUUUACGGUGUAGCAGUGAAAUGCGUAGAUAUCGUAAGGAAGACCAGUGGCGAAGGCGGGUCUCUGGACAGUUCCUGACACUGAGACACGAAGGCCAGGGGAGCAAACGGG
rnacentral:rRNA from 1 species